GAAACCUUUUUAAUAUAUUGAUGUGAAAUGAGAAGUAAUUCAGAAAUGCAAUUUAGUGAUGACCUCUCCUCUGGGUGGAUAUGAAAAGCAGCCUUGUUUUCUUUUAUAAAGAAAUGCUGGCAUGCUUGACUUUAGUGAAUCAAGAGAAUUGUUUGGCAAAUAACAGUGAUGGUGUGUGUCCUUGUCAGAACACCUGCUGUAUUCUCCCAGCAAACGCUGGGGCCACGGCGUCUCUCCUCUAAUGACACCUCAUCAAUCCGCUCCUAUCAAUGUCCCAGCCAUGGAGGUGACUUCGAGUGCUCAGAAGCCUUAGAAAAUGUCAACGUUUUGGGAGAAAAGGUUCAAGGAAAAGUUAGUGGAAGCCGUUAUCCAUGUCAACAUUGAACCAGAAGAGCAUGAUUUGCAAGAGGAACUGCUACACAUUUUACACUUAUUUACUCCAACCUUUCCUGCUAAUUCCAGGUUUAUUGAACACGAUAACACAUGUAGAGCAGAGCACUGUGCACCAGUUACUAAUGCCAGAAGAGGACUCUCACUAUAUGGAGGGUAAUGAAGAUCAUCACAAUACCAGCCACCAGGAAUAGAAGUCCAGAUACUUCUGCCCACUGUCUGUUAGUAUUGGAGUCACCAAAAAAUCACAAGUCAAGUACUUGGUGGAAAAUUACUUUACUCACAAAAAGAUACAGAGCAAGAUCAGUUUCGGUAGUGGACAUCUGUCACCAUGGUCCCUCCUAAAAGACAAUGCAGGGCAACUGGCCUAUGAGCACCCAACUAGUGCUACACUAGAAGGACUCUGACACCUCCUCCAUGAAGUAUGAAAUAUCAAAAACUAGGGGCAUGCCUGAGCGCCAUUGAAACACAGUGCUUAAGCAGAACAAAGACGUAAAGACGUACUCAUUGAGUCUGAAACAGAGAAAGAUACUUUCUCACUAAAUCUAAACCUGGGAUAGGUACUGCCUUUCCCAAUACAACAGAUUUUAGUAAAUCCUCCAAAUUUGUUUGACUUUGUUCCAUUUGUUUUGGUAAUUAUCUAUGCUGUCCCUUUCUAUAUACAAUUAGCAUAAGCUAGUCAAUACAACAAAAAUAUAUACAGCAAAUUAGAUUGGGUUUGCAUCAUUCUAUAGAUUAGGAGAAUAUUGAACAUUAUAAAAAUAGUGAAUAUUCCAAUUCAUGAACUCAAUAUAUUUAUUCAUUUACUAAGACAUUCUUGAUUUCUUAUUCAGCAUUCGUAGGUAACAUGCAAAUCCUGUAUCUAUUUUUGUUAACUUUGUACCUACAUAUUUUGUUUUUCCUGAUGCUAUUGUAACUAUUACUUUAAAAUUUAAUUUCCAUGUGCCUAUAGUCCCAACUUCUUGGGAGACUGAGGCAAAAGACUCAGUUGGGCCCAGGAGGGAGUUUGAGUCUAGUCUGGGCAACACAGAACCCCACCUCUAAAAAUUAAAUUAAGUUAAAAUUAAAAAAAAAAAUUUCCAUUUGUUCAUGCCCAUUAUGCAAAUAUGUAAUUGACCUAGUACCCUGGAACAUUCCAAAAUUAUUUUACUAAAUCUGGAGAUUUUGUUAUAGAUCUA
rnacentral:lncRNA from 1 species